GGUGAAAGCAACUGAGCCAGAUACGUUACAGAGCAUCUGAGUUCUGCAGGAGCUUGGAGAUUUUAAAUGCAAAAAUACUAAGGCCUUGUCUACAAUAAAGGUUUUCAGGAAUCUCCCACUUUGGCUCCAGCAGUAUUACUGAUAUAGCUAUGCCAGUUCCAAGGCAAACAAGCUGUCAGCAGUUUCACCAUCACAUCCUCCCAAGCAGCAGUGAGCUGGAGUAGAAGAUUUAGUACUGAAAAGGUGCAUGCUGUGAUCCUGCUCCUGACGCAGCUCUUCUGCCAUGCGGGAAGCCUAAGAGGAGGCACAGUACAUUCUCAUCAAGCACAACAGACUUUUAAUGCCAGCAGCGGAGCAAACAGUACAACAACCCUGU